rnacentral:rRNA from 1 species
UGGGGAAUAUUGCACAAUGGAGGGAACUCUGAUGCAGCGACGCCGCGUGAGUGAUGAAGGAAUUCGUUUCGUAAAACUCUGUUCUAUGGGAAGAAAAGGACUGUACCAUAGGAGAAAGCUCCGGCUAAAUACGUGCCAGCAGCCGCGGUAAUACGUAUGGAGCGAGCGUUGUCCGGAAUUAUUGGGAGUAAAGGGUGCGCAGGCGGCUUUACAAGUUGGAUGUGAAAUAUUGUGGCUCAACCACAAACGUGCAUCCAAAACUGCAAAGCUUGAGUUAAGGAGAGGUAAGUGGAAUUCCUGGUGUAGCGGUGGAAUGCGUAGAUAUCAGGAGGAAUACCGGUGGCGAAGGCGACUUACUGGACUUAAACUGACGCUCAGGCACGAAAGCGUGGGGAGCAAACAGG